GUACGGGAGGCAGCAGUAAGGAAUAUUGGGCAAUGGACGAAAGUCUGACCCAGCCAUGCCGCGUGAAGGAUUAAGGUCCUCUGGAUUGUAAACUUCUUUUCUCUGGGGCGAAAACCAGCUAUUCUUAGCUAUUUGACAGUACCAGAGGAAUAAGCACCGGCUAACUCCGUGCCAGCAGCCGCGGUAAUACGGAGGGUGCAAGCGUUAUCCGGAUUCACUGGGUUUAAAGGGUGCGUAGGUGGGCUAGUAAGUCAGUGGUGAAAUCCCCGAGCUUAACUUGGGAACUGCCGUUGAUACUAUUAGUCUUGAAUAUCGUGGAGGUAAGCGGAAUAUGUCAUGUAGCGGUGAAAUGCUUAGAUAUGACAUAGAACACCAAUUGCGAAGGCAGCUUGCUACACGGUCAUUGACACUGAGGCACGAAAGCGUGGGGAGCAAACAGGAUUAGAUACCCCGGU
rnacentral:rRNA from 1 species